UAGUCUCUAUCUACUGUCAGGACUGCUGUG
rnacentral:piRNA from 1 species